rnacentral:rRNA from 1 species
CACGGGGGGAGCAAGCGUUGUUCGGAAUCACUGGGCGUAAAGGGCGUGUAGGCGGUUAGACAAGUGGAAUGUGAAAUGCCCCGGCUCACCCGGGGGACCGGCAUCCCAAACUGUCUGGCUUGAGUAUGGGAGAGGAUGAGGGAAUUCCUGGUGUAGCGGUGAAAUGCGUAGAUAUCAGGAGGAACACCGGUGGCGAAGGCGGCUUUCUGGGCCUUACCUGACGCUGGAGACGCGAAAGCGUGGGAGCGAACGGG